GAUGAACGCUGGCGGCGUGCCUAAUACAUGCAAGUCGAGCGAACAGACGAGGAGCUUGCUCCUCUGACGUUAGCGGCGGACGGGUGAGUAACACGUGGAUAACCUACCUAUAAGACUUGGAUAACUUCGGGAAACCGGAGCUAAUACCGGAUAAUAUAUUGAACCGCAUGGUUCAAUAGUGAAAGACGGUUUUGCUGUCACUUAUAGAUGGAUCCGCGCCGCAUUAGCUAGUUGGUAAGGUAACGGCUUACCAAGGCAACGAUGCGUAGCCGACCUGAGAGGGUGAUCGGCCACACUGGAACUGAGACACGGUCCAGACUCCUACGGGAGGCAGCAGUAGGGAAUAUUACGAAAUGGGCGAAAGCAUGACGGAGCAAGGCCGCGUGAGUGAUGAAGGUCUUCGGAUCGUAAAAAUCUGUUAUUAGGGAAGAACAAAUGUGUAAGUAACUAUGCACGUCUUGACGGUACCUAAUAAGAAAGCAACGGCUAACUACGUG
rnacentral:rRNA from 1 species